rnacentral:tRNA from 1 species
AAGGGUUUAGCUUAAGUAAAGUAGUUGAUUUGCAUUCAGCGGAUGUAGGAUAGAGUCUUGCAGCCCUUA